UGAGAUGUUGGGUUAAUUCCCGCAACGAGCGCAAUCCCCGUCCUUAGUUGCUACCAUUUAGUUGAGCACUCUAAGGAGACUGCCGGUGAUAAGCCGCGAGGAAGGUGGGGAUGACGUCAAGUCCUCAUGGCCCUUACGGGCUGGGCUACACACGUGCUACAAUGGCGGUGACAAUGGGAUGCUAAGGGGCGACCCUUCGCAAAUCUCAAAAAGCCGUCUCAGUUCGGAUUGGAGUCUGCAACUCGACUCCAUGAAGUUGGAAUCGCUAGUAAUCGUGGAUCAGCAUGCCACGGUGAAUACGUUCCCGGGCCUUGUACACACCGCCCGUCACACCAUGGGAGUUGGUUCUACCUGAAGGCAGUGCGCUAACCCGCAAGGGAGGCAGCUGACCACGGUAGGGUCAGCGACUGGGGUGAAGUCGUAACAAGGUAACC
rnacentral:rRNA from 1 species